rnacentral:rRNA from 1 species
GACGAACGCUGGCGGCGUGCUUAACACAUGCAAGUCGAACGGAAAGACCCGGCUUUUGUGUUGUGCACGAGUGGCGAACGGGUGAGUAACACGUGAGUAACCUGCCCCUGACUUUGGGAUAACUUCUGGAAACUGCGGCUAAUACCGGAUAGGAGCUCCUGCUGCAUGGUGGGGGUUGGAAAGGUUCGGCGGUCGGGGAUGGACUCGCGGCUUAUCAGCUUGUUGGUGGGGUAGUGGCUUACCAAGGCUUUGACGGGUAGCCGGCCUGAGAGGGCGACCGGCCACACUGGGACUGAGAUACGGCCCAGACUCCUACGGGAGGCAGCAGUGGGGAAUAUUGCACAAUGGGCGGAAGCCUGAUGCAGCGACGCCGCGUGAGGGAUGACGGCCUUCGGGUUGUAAACCGCUUUCGCCUGUGACGAAGCGUGAGUGACGGUACCGGGUAAAGAAGCACCGGCUAACUACGUG